UGCCCACACUUCACUUACACGAUUUUCACUAGUACUAAGAAUACAUAUUCAAUAGGAUAUUUGAUGUUUAGGUAGCGUCUAACAAUUUUUGAACUUAAUUUGUUUAAGCCAUUCAGAUUUUUGAACGUUUCCAUUUAUAUGUAUGAGAGGAGUAGGGACGAAUAGUACAAAACGACGAGCGGUGAUUGUCCGUGCAGAAAGAAAACGUACCCUCUACUGCUAAAAGGUGCGAAGUGGAAGCUGACGAAACGUGGGACACAAUCACACAACAAAACUAUACAAAUAUUAUUUUCUCAUGUUAAUAGUGAUUAGUGGAAUGAUUGCCAAUGGACAAUGCGGCCUUCUUAUCCCUUG